UAACGGCGAGUGAAGCGGCAACAGCUCAAAUUUGAAAUCUGGCGCUUUUGGUGCCCGAGUUGUAAUUUGCAGAGGAUGCUUUUGGCGACGUGCCUUCCGAGUUCCCUGGAACGGGACGCCAUAGAGGGUGAGAGCCCCGUACGGUCUGGUGCCUAGCCGUUGUAAAGCUCCUUCGACGAGUCGAGUAGUUUGGGAAUGCUGCUCUAAAUGGGAGGUAAACUCCUUCUAAAGCUAAAUAUUGGCCAGAGACCGAUAGCGCACAAGUAGAGUGAUCGAAAGAUGAAAAGCACUUUGAAAAGAGAGUUAAAUAGCACGUGAAAUUGUUGAAAGGGAAGCGCUUGUGACCAGACUUGGGCUUGGUAGUUCAGCCGUCCUUUUGGGCGGUGCAUUCUGCCGGUUCAGGCCAGCAUCAGUUGUCGGUUGGGUAGAAUUGUAGUGGGAAUGUGGCUCUUCGGAGUGUUAUAGCCCGCUACGCAAUGCCCUCCUGGCGACUGAGGUUAGCGUUUUCACGGAUGCUGGCGUAAUGGUUAUCAGCGACCCGUCUUGAAACACGGACCAAGGAGUCGUCCUGCUAUGCGAGUGUUUGGGUGUUAAACCCCUACGCGAAAUGAAAGUGAACGGAGGUGAGAGCUUUGGCGCAUCAUCGACCGAUCCUGAUGUUUUCGGAUUUGAGUAAGAGCAUAGCGGGCCGGACCCGAAAGAAGGUAAGCAAAAGACCCAAAUAUCCCCUAAUUUUUUAGUGGACGUAUGUACUAACGGUGGCAACCUUAUAGGUGAACUAUGCUUGAAUAGGGCAAAGCCAGAGGAAACUCUGGUGGAGGCUCGCAGCGGUUCUGACGUGCAAAUCGAUCGUCAAAUUUGAGCAUGGGGGCGAAAGACUAAUCGAACCUUCUAGUAGCUGGUUUCUACCGAAGUUUCCCUCAGGAUAGCAGUGUUGAUUCUCAGUUUUAUGAGGUAAAGCGAAUGAUUAGGGACUCGGGGGCGCUAUUUAGCCUUCAUCCAUUCUCAAACUUUAAAUAUGUAAGAAGCCUUUGUUGCUUUAGUGAACGAAGGCAUUAGAAUGUACAACACUAGUGGGCCAUUUUUGGUAAGCAGAACUGGCGAUGCGGGAUGAACCGAUCGCGAGGUUAAGGUGCCGGAGUAGUCGCUCAUCAGACACCACAAAAGGUGUUAUCACAUCUUGACAGCAGGACGGUGGCCAUGGAAGUCGGAAUCCGCUAAGGACUGUGUAACAACUCACCUGCCGAAUGUGAUAGCCCUGAAAAUGGAUGGCGCUCAAGCGACUCACCCAUACCUCGCCCUCAGGGUAGACACUAUGCCCUG
rnacentral:rRNA from 1 species